rnacentral:rRNA from 1 species
AACCUGCCCAAGAGAUCGGGAUAACACCUGGAAACAGAUGCUAAUACCGGAUAACAACAGAUGAUGCCUAUCAACUGUUUAAAAGAUGGUUCUGCUAUCACUCUUGGAUGGACCUGCGGUGCAUUAGCUAGUUGGUAGGGUAACGGCCUACCAAGGCGAUGAUGCAUAGCCGAGUUGAGAGACUGAUCGGCCACAUUGGGACUGAGACACGGCCCAAACUCCUACGGGAGGCAGCAAGC